ACUAAGCGUACACGGUGGAUGCCCUGGCAGUCAGAGGCGAUGAAGGACGUGCUAAUCUGCGAUAAGCGUCGGUAAGGUGAUAUGAACCGUUAUAACCGGCGAUUUCCGAAUGGGGAAACCCAGUGUGUUUCGACACACUAUCAUUAACUGAAUCCAUAGGUUAAUGAGGCGAACCGGGGGAACUGAAACAUCUAAGUACCCCGAGGAAAAGAAAUCAACCGAGAUUCCCCCAGUAGCGGCGAGCGAACGGGGAGCAGCCCAGAGCCUGAAUCAGUGUGUGUGUUAGUGGAAGCGUCUGGAAAGGCGCGCGAUACAGGGUGACAGCCCCGUACACAAAAAUGCACAUAUUGUGAGCUCGAUGAGUAGGGCGGGACACGUGGUAUCCUGUCUGAAUAUGGGGGGACCAUCCUCCAAGGCUAAAUACUCCUGACUGACCGAUAGUGAACCAGUACCGUGAGGGAAAGGCGAAAAGAACCCCGGCGAGGGGAGUGAAAAAGAACCUGAAACCGUGUACGUACAAGCAGUGGGAGCCUCUUUUAUGGGGUGACUGCGUACCUUUUGUAUAAUGGGUCAGCGACUUAUAUUCUGUAGCAAGGUUAACCGAAUAGGGGAGCCGAAGGGAAACCGAGUCUUAACUGGGCGUUAAGUUGCAGGGUAUAGACCCGAAACCCGGUGAUCUAGCCAUGGGCAGGUUGAAGGUUGGGUAACACUAACUGGAGGACCGAACCGACUAAUGUUGAAAAAUUAGCGGAUGACUUGUGGCUGGGGGUGAAAGGCCAAUCAAACCGGGAGAUAGCUGGUUCUCCCCGAAAGCUAUUUAGGUAGCGCCUCGUGAACUCAUCUCCGGGGGUAGAGCACUGUUUCGGCAAGGGGGUCAUCCCGACUUACCAACCCGAUGCAAACUGCGAAUACCGGAGAAUGUUAUCACGGGAGACACACGGCGGGUGCUAACGUCCGUCGUGAAGAGGGAAACAACCCAGACCGCCAGCUAAGGUCCCAAAGUCAUGGUUAAGUGGGAAACGAUGUGGGAAGGCCCAGACAGCCAGGAUGUUGGCUUAGAAGCAGCCAUCAUUUAAAGAAAGCGUAAUAGCUCACUGGUCGAGUCGGCCUGCGCGGAAGAUGUAACGGGGCUAAACCAUGCACCGAAGCUGCGGCAGCGACACUAUGUGUUGUUGGGUAGGGGAGCGUUCUGUAAGCCUGUGAAGGUGUACUGUGAGGUAUGCUGGAGGUAUCAGAAGUGCGAAUGCUGACAUAAGUAACGAUAAAGCGGGUGAAAAGCCCGCUCGCCGGAAGACCAAGGGUUCCUGUCCAACGUUAAUCGGGGCAGGGUGAGUCGACCCCUAAGGCGAGGCCGAAAGGCGUAGUCGAUGGGAAACAGGUUAAUAUUCCUGUACUUGGUGUUACUGCGAAGGGGGGACGGAGAAGGCUAUGUUGGCCGGGCGACGGUUGUCCCGGUUUAAGCGUGUAGGCUGGUUUUCCAGGCAAAUCCGGAAAAUCAAGGCUGAGGCGUGAUGACGAGGCACUACGGUGCUGAAGCAACAAAUGCCCUGCUUCCAGGAAAAGCCUCUAAGCAUCAGGUAACAUCAAAUCGUACCCCAAACCGACACAGGUGGUCAGGUAGAGAAUACCAAGGCGCUUGAGAGAACUCGGGUGAAGGAACUAGGCAAAAUGGUGCCGUAACUUCGGGAGAAGGCACGCUGAUAUGUAGGUGAAGUCCCUCGCGGAUGGAGCUGAAAUCAGUCGAAGAUACCAGCUGGCUGCAACUGUUUAUUAAAAACACAGCACUGUGCAAACACGAAAGUGGACGUAUACGGUGUGACGCCUGCCCGGUGCCGGAAGGUUAAUUGAUGGGGUCAGCGCAAGCGAAGCUCUUGAUCGAAGCCCCGGUAAACGGCGGCCGUAACUAUAACGGUCCUAAGGUAGCGAAAUUCCUUGUCGGGUAAGUUCCGACCUGCACGAAUGGCGUAAUGAUGGCCAGGCUGUCUCCACCCGAGACUCAGUGAAAUUGAACUCGCUGUGAAGAUGCAGUGUACCCGCGGCAAGACGGAAAGACCCCGUGAACCUUUACUAUAGCUUGACACUGAACAUUGAGCCUUGAUGUGUAGGAUAGGUGGGAGGCUUAGAAGUGUGGACGCCAGUCUGCAUGGAGCCGACCUUGAAAUACCACCCUUUAAUGUUUGAUGUUCUAACGUUGACCCGUGAUCCGGGUUGCGGACAGUGUCUGGUGGGUAGUUUGACUGGGGCGGUCUCCUCCUAAAGAGUAACGGAGGAGCACGAAGGUUGGCUAAUCCUGGUCGGACAUCAGGAGGUUAGUGCAAUGGCAUAAGCCAGCUUGACUGCGAGCGUGACGGCGCGAGCAGGUGCGAAAGCAGGUCAUAGUGAUCCGGUGGUUCUGAAUGGAAGGGCCAUCGCUCAACGGAUAAAAGGUACUCCGGGGAUAACAGGCUGAUACCGCCCAAGAGUUCAUAUCGACGGCGGUGUUUGGCACCUCGAUGUCGGCUCAUCACAUCCUGGGGCUGAAGUAGGUCCCAAGGGUAUGGCUGUUCGCCAUUUAAAGUGGUACGCGAGCUGGGUUUAGAACGUCGUGAGACAGUUCGGUCCCUAUCUGCCGUGGGCGCUGGAGAACUGAGGGGGGCUGCUCCUAGUACGAGAGGACCGGAGUGGACGCAUCACUGGUGUUCGGGUUGUCAUGCCAAUGGCACUGCCCGGUAGCUAAAUGCGGAAGAGAUAAGUGCUGAAAGCAUCUAAGCACGAAACUUGCCCCGAGAUGAGUUCUCCCUGACCCUUUAAGGGUCCUGAAGGAACGUUGAAGACGACGACGUUGAUAGGCCGGGUGUGUAAGCGCAGCGAUGCGUUGAGCUAACCGGUACUAAUGAACCGUGAGGCUUAACC
rnacentral:rRNA from 1 species